AGGCCCGGGAUUGCCUCAGUAGCGGCGAGUGAAGCGGCAAGAGCUCAGAUUUGAAAUCGUGCUUUGCGGCACGAGUUGUAGAUUGCAGGUUGGAGUCUGUGUGGAAGGCGGUGUCCAAGUCCCUUGGAACAGGGCGCCCAGGAGGGUGAGAGCCCCGUGGGAUGCCGGCGGAAGCAGUGAGGCCCUUCUGACGAGUCGAGUUGUUUGGGAAU
rnacentral:rRNA from 1 species